rnacentral:lncRNA from 1 species
CAGAAAAUUCCAGAAGGUGCCAGAGCCGUGUUCGCCCUUGGCCUCCAUGAGAGGAGACGGGGAUGUUGCUGCCUGAGAGCGUCGCGUUUCGCAGGAGAAGAAAGAACGCCAUAGAGCCUGCGGUUGCCAUGCCAACACUGUUCCCUGGGGUGCAGCCACACAGAGAUGAAUGCUGUGAAAUUAAGCCCUGCUUGAUAGGUGCACGCUUCAGUUCCUUAUUUUUGUGUCGUGUGAGGGAAGUUGGUAUUUCAAAAGACCAAGCGAGUGCAUUUCAUCAGUAUUUAUUAUUUAGCACUGAAAGUGCAGCCAACAUGUCAGAG